GACCAUGGAACAGUCUGCACGACUCCGUGGAGCCGAACGGACACGCCACGGUCCGCUCCGCUGUACGCGCCAACGAUUCACCCCUCUCCAACCAUCGAAAUACCAACCACCCUAGUUUCAACCCCUCGAUGGCGACGCCCAGCGUCGAUCUACUGUGUUCCCAUCUUCUACCACGCAGACUCGAACAUCCAUCGUCCCAUGGCGCUUGUGCGUGACCCGUUGGAUUUUCCAAAAACACUGUGUUCGAUCUCCAUUGUGCUGUUUCAAACAUCUUUAUUAAAUUUUGAAUUAUUUUAACAUCCCAGUGAUUUGUUUUAAAAAUUGAACCAAGUGAUUGAUACAAAAGAUUUGACAAGUGGAGUAUCUUGUACCUUUGUGUAUUAAUUCAAACGCAAAAUGGGUGACGGGGUUGUAAAAAAAUUGUUUCGUUUUAAUUCAGAGUGAAAAGUGAUAUUUGGAAAGGACUUUUCUAUUUGGAGAUUGUGACGAUGUACGAUCAUUAUGUUAAGUUUCUUAAUGUUACCAAGUAUGUUACGUUUAUUAAGUCGUAGAAAGGUUCCGAGAUAUGGGGGUUGAAUUAUCUGCGUUGGUGUCAAUGCAUGCGUUUUCAACCCUCAAAGCGCAGACUCGCCGGGAAUCCAUUGCUACCAUCUUGUAUCAAGGGGGUGGUGAAAGCUUUGUCGGGGAUGUCUAGCAACGUUCCGUCGAUGCACCCCCAAAUAUUUGCGAACAACUGAUAUCUUUCGCUACAGAUCGCAUAAAAUGGUGUGCUGCUAGUGAUGUUGGCGAAGAUGGUGGUGCCGAGGGGAAACAGGAGAGAGAAAGAUAGAAACAACAGGAGGGAAGAAGAAGAAUGGAGAGGACAGAAGGCCGUGAAACCGAGGAGACGGGGAGAGGACAGAGAUGUGCCGGCUGGCAAGCAGAUGGUUGCGCCGUUUAUUGGUUUAUUCGUCGGUUCAGCCAUGACGUCCCGUUCAGCCAUCGGACCAGCCGGUGUGUGUUCCUCUUUGUGUUCCUCGGGAAGAUUCGACUAACACCCGGGUCUUAUCUCUUCCCGAUUUCGAGACAAACCUAUAACUAUCGGCUGGGAUUUGUACGAAAGUGACUUCCACGGUGGUUGCAGCAUCGACAGCUUUGUCUUUUUGGAGCUUUUUCGGGGAUUGUGAUUUACACGCUUGGAAUGCACGAGGGUGAUGAUGUCUGAGACUUUUGGAGGGAUAGAGUGCGGAUGUCGAUUGUUCAAAGAGGGACUUUCGCGAUGAAGGGGUUGAUUGAUGCUGACUCGGCUGCUCUUAUGGUCGCUUACACGGUAAUCAACGUGACAGAAAGAGUGCUGAAAUAAAUAAUUGAUACAAAUUUAAUCUCACCCGUGGAAAACUGGAAAUAUGGAAAAUUCAGAAACCAGUACCCGCCUAAUUCAAGUUAAUCCCGGAUUGGCAAGCGGAAGGAGAGGAUUCUAAGAGGAUUAACCCACUACUCGAAGCUCGAGGAAUUUGGGAGCCUAUCGUUGUCCUAUCUGUUUCAAUUCCCUGAACAAAAUAAUCCGAGAUAAACAAGGAACGCCGAUGACCAAGUAACCUGGAAAUGCAAGGUACAUCGACACGCUCAAAUAAAAGAAGCUGUACCGCUACGGAAUAAGAGGAGAAAGAGGAUGAAGAAGAACACGACCUUGCUACAUUCAGCUGUGUCAUCCGUGAGCCGUUAACGCUCAGGUGCUUUCGAUCCCAGGGACGAGCAUCAAUCACUAUCGAUAGUGCAGGUGGACCAAAUGAUGACGAGAAGGUUGGACACCGUCAAUAGCAUACUGGGCCAACGAAGAAGUUAAAUGAGG